rnacentral:rRNA from 1 species
UACAGAGGGUGCAAGCGUUGUUCGGAAUUAUUGGGCGUAAAGGGUGCGUAGGUGGUGAGGUAAGUCGGAUGUGAAAUCUCCGAGCUCAACUCGGAAAUGGCAUUGGAAACUACCUUGCUCGAGGGUUGGAGGGGGGACUGGAAUGCUUGGUGUAGCAGUGAAAUGCGUAGAUAUCAAGCGGAACACCAGUGGCGAAGGCGAGUCCCUGGACAACUCCUGACACUGAGGCACGAAAGCUAGGGGAGCAAACAGG